rnacentral:rRNA from 1 species
AUUGAACGCUGGCGGUAUGCUUAACACAUGCAAGUCGAACGGCAGCAUGGUCUAGCUUGCUAGACUGAUGGCGAGUGGCGGACGGGUGAGUAACGCGUAGGAAUAUGCCUUGAAGAGUGGGACAACUUGGGGAAACUCAAGCUAAUACCGCAUGUACUCGAGAGAGUAAAGCUGGGGACCUUUAGGCCUGGCGCUUUAAGAUUAGCCUGCGUCCGAUUAGCUAGUUGGUAGGGUAAAGGCCUACCAAGGCGACGAUCGGUAGCUGGUCUGAGAGGAUGAUCAGCCACACCGGAACUGAGAGACUGUCCAGACUCCUACGGGAGGCAGCAGUGGGGAAUAUUGGACAAUGGGGGGAACCCUGAUCCAGCAAUGCCGCGUGUGUGAAGAAGGCCUGAGGGUUGUAAAGCACUUUCAGUGGGGAGGAGGUUUGGAAGGUUAAGAGCUAUUCAAAUGGACGUUACCCACAGAAGAAGCACCGGCUAACUCCGUGCCAGCCGCCGCGGUAA